ensembl:lncRNA
CCACGGGAUCCCAGGAUUAUUGGGCGUCCACGGCCUGAGGGUACUCAGAUUCCCGCAGUCGCUCUCCUGGGAAGUUACUUUAGUUUCUCGUGAUAGGGAAGAAAUUGAUUUAUAUUAAAAUCGUAGGUCGUGGGCAUCUUGCCUUCCAUCUGGGAAAGGACAUUAAGUACGUUCUCGAUGUAGAAUGACUUUCCUUUUGGCAGCUCCUCGCCCGCCUCCGACAAAGGCCCCCGCCUGAGGUUGCCGCCCUCGCUCCUGUCUCUUUAAAUGAUGAGGGGCCGAGGGGCCGCCCCUGCAACUGCUGGCUGGGUGGCCCCGCGCCCCCCUUCUGAGGGGUGAGCCAAGAUGGCGGCCGCUUGGGCUCCGAGAGGAAGGCGGGCGAGGUGGCGGCAGCGGCUGAGGGAGAGCGACUUCCAGCAGCCAAGGGAACUUCGGUCGUCAAGGGCGUUCCUAAUCUCCCAGGCAGUGGUAGACGUUGGAGCUGGAGCAGGCACCCGCCGGCUUUGGACACUUGAAGAAGAGAGGGAGCAGAGCGGAGACACUGGCCGUGGUGGCAGGGCCAGGCCCUGAUGCCACGUUCCAGAGCUGUCUUGCUCUCUGCUAUGUUCCUAGCUGAGAACAGUUCCAGAUUUGGAUUAGACACUUCGAAAAAAGGGACAUUUUUCUAAUGAAUGACUGACAAGAAAAGGCAAGCGUGUACAGUCAUUCCUCCAUAUCUCCAAGCCUCACGUCUGUAGAUUCAACCAACUACAGAUUGAAAAUGUUUUUUUAAAAAUCUAGAAAGUCUCCAACAUCAAAACUUGAAUUUACUACAUGUCAAGCUCAGUGUGGAAUCCACACAAAUGCAAUAAUGUACAUACGCCAGCAAUGUGUAAACUUGCCUGGCUGGAGCCACUCACUGCUUCUGGGACACUUGGUCCUCACUCCAGUGCUCAGGAUGUGAGCAGUAUUCACUUCACAUUUGGAUUGUGCACCGUGUGGUUAGGCCUAUAGUGGUUGAUUUUGCAGGAAGCAUGUACAAGCAUUUUUCCUGGAGACCAUACACUAUCACAACUACUUAUGUGACAUUGAUAUUAUUUUAGAUGCAAGUGAUCUAGCAGGGAUUGAAAGGCAUAAGAGGAUGAGCACAAGUCAUGUAAAUGUGGUUAUUUUAUAUAAGGGACCAGAACAUCCAUAGGUUUUGGAACGAAGAAUAAUAGGGGACUAGCUGUAGACCUGGAACCAACCCUCCACCAAUAAAAUGGGCAACUGUACUCUAGAGGGUCUAGUUUCCCUUCUCUCAGACAUGGACCCAGCACAAAUACAAAUCAUGAGCAUAAAUGGUGCACAUGAUGUGCGUUUUGUAGUUUGUUUUCUAGUUUACUCUUUUUGUAACUCCCUCAUCUAAUCAAAAGAUGAGAUCUUUCUCAGCUUCAACACUACAUAACCUGGAUAUAACACUGGUAAGAUCAGUCCAUUCCCAUCUCUGAAUUCUGUUCUCCAAACAGAAGCAGGGCUGGCAUGACCUUCAGUCUGAGAGAGGAAUAGCUGGCUUCUGAGAUGACUAGAAAAG